GUGCUCACUUCAGCAGCACAUAUGCUAAAGUUGGAACCAUACAGAGAUUAGCAUGGCUUCUGCACAAGGAUGACAUGCAAAUGCAAAUUUGUGAAGCUUUCCAAUUUUUU
ensembl:snRNA U6 U6 spliceosomal RNA